GAUGAACGCUGGCGGCGUGCUUAACACAUGCAAGUCGAACGAAGCACUUGAAACGGAUUCUUCGGAUGAAGUUUCCUGUGACUGAGUGGCGGACGGGUGAGUAACGCGUGGGUAACCUGCCUCAUACAGGGGGAUAACAGUUAGAAAUGGCUGCUAAUACCGCAUAAGCGCACGGCAUCGCAUGAUGCAGUGUGAAAAACUCCGGUGGUAUGAGAUGGAUCCGCGUUGGAUUAGCUAGUUGGCAGGGUAACGGCCUACCAAGGCGACGAUCCAUAGCCGGCCUGAGAGGGUGGACGGCCACAUUGGGACUGAGACACGGCCCAGACUCCUACGGGAGGAAGCAGUGGGGAAUAUUGCACAAUGGGGGAAACCCUGAUGCAGCGACGCUGCGUGAGCGAAGAAGUAUUUCGGUAUGUAAAGCUCUAUCAGCAGGAAGAAAAUGACGGUACCUGACUAAGAAGCCCCGGCUAACUACGUGCCAGCAGCCGCCGUAA
rnacentral:rRNA from 1 species